GAUCCUGGCUCAGGAUGAACGCUAGCUACAGGCUUAACACAUGCAAGUCGAGGGGAAACGAUAUUGGAAGCUUGCUUCCGAUAGGCGUCGACCGGCGCACGGGUGAGUAACGCGUAUCCAACCUGCCCACCACUUGGGGAUAACCUUGCGAAAGCAAGACUAAUACCCGAUGAUAUCUCUAGAAGACAUCUGAAAGGGAUUAAAGAUUUAUCGGUGAUGGAUGGGGAUGCGUCUGAUUAGCUUGUUGGCGGGGUAACGGCCCACCAAGGCGACGAUCAGUAGGGGUUCUGAGAGGAAGGUCCCCCACAUUGGAACUGAGACACGGUCCAAACUCCUACGGGAGGCAGCAGUGAGGAAUAUUGGUCAAUGGGCGAGAGCCUGAACCAGCCAAGUAGCGUGCAGGAAGACGGCCCUAUGGGUUGUAAACUGCUUUUAUAAGGGAAUAAAGUGAGUCUCGUGAGACUUUUUGCAUGUACCUUAUGAAUAAGGACCGGCUAAUUCCGUG
rnacentral:rRNA from 1 species